GAGUUUGAUCGUGGCUCAGGAUGAACGCUAGCUACAGGCUUAACACAUGCAAGUCGAGGGGCAGCAUUGGAGUAGCAAUACUUUAGAUGGCGACCGGCGCACGGGUGAGUAACACGUAUCCAACCUGCCGCUUACUCGGGGAUAGCCUUUCGAAAGAAAGAUUAAUACCCGAUGGUAUAAAGAGUUCGCAUGUUCUCUUUAUUAAAGAAUUUCGGUAAGCGAUGGGGAUGCGUUCCAUUAGAUAGUUGGCGGGGUAACGGCCCACCAAGUCUACGAUGGAUAGGGGUUCUGAGAGGAAGGUCCCCCACAUUGGAACUGAGACACGGUCCAAACUCCUACGGGAGGCAGCAGUGAGGAAUAUUGGUCAAUGGACGAGAGUCUGAACCAGCCAAGUAGCGUGAAGGAUGACUGCCCUAUGGGUUGUAAACUUCUUUUAUAAGGGAAUAAAGUGAGGGACGUGUCCCUUUUGUAUGUACCUUAUGAUAAGAUCGGCUAACUCCGUGCCAGCAGCCGCCGU
rnacentral:rRNA from 1 species